UUUAGCUAGCUAGUUUAAAAGUGAUAUUGUUCACUGUUGCUAUGUAGAAUGGUGCUGCUAUAAUGCAAAUAAAUAAUUGCUGCUAUUUUAUAUUAUUAUAGUAUUAGCGAUAGUGUUUAGUUGGAGGACAAGUCAGGCUGCAAGGAGUUGCUGUGGAUGGCCUCAGACAAAUUUGAAAUAAUGCUAGGAAGAGCCGGACCACUGAUCACCACACAGCAAUUACUGCCAGGAGAAACCUACAAAUCAAUCCGGUUUCCAGUAUAGGACUGGGGCAACUACUGUAUCUGAUAGAGUGAAAGACAUAUGCGAGGUCCUGCAGGAGGAGGAGGGGCAAGCAAAUGCCAAGGACUUCGCAGAGAAAUGGCAGUUCCUACAAUGCCCGGUUGCCAUCAAUGGGAAGCAUGUUUACAUCCAGCCCUGGCCCUUAGUGGCAGCAUGUGGCACAAAAAGUAGAU